UCUUACAGAUGAGCAAAGAAAGUGGUUCCUUGAGAUAGAAUCUACUCCUGGUGAUGAUGCUGUGAA
rnacentral:pre_miRNA from 1 species